rnacentral:rRNA from 1 species
GUCCACGCCCUAAACGAUGCAUAUUUGGUGUUGGCAGUUCAUUCUGUCCGUGCCGGAGCUAACGCGUUAAAUAUGCCGCCUGGGGAGUACAGUCGCAAGGCUGAAACUCAAAGGAAUUGACGGGGGCCCCGCACAAGCGGUGGAGCAUGUGGUUCAAUUCGACGCAACGCGAAGAACCUUACCUGGGCUCGAACGGCUGGUCAACGAGGGUGGAAACACCUUUACUCCGCAAGGGGGUCCAGUCGAGGUGCUGCAUGGCUGUCGU